GAUGAACGCUAGCUACAGGCUUAACACAUGCAAGUCGAGGGGCAGCGCAGUGUAGCAAUACAUGGGCGGCGACCGGCGCACGGGUGCGUAACGCGUAUCCAACCUUCCCGUUACUCAGGGAUAGCCUUCCGAAAGGGAGAUUAAUACCUGAUGGUGUUUGAAUUCCGCAUGUUAUUCAAACUAAAGAUUCAUCGGUAACGGAUGGGGAUGCGUGACAUUAGAUAGUAGGCGGGGUAACGGCCCACCUAGUCUACGAUCAGUAGCCGGUCUGAGAGGAUGAACGGCCACAUUGGGACUGAGAUACGGCCCAGACUCCUACGGGAGGCAGCAGUGGGGAAUAUUGGGCAAUGGGGGAAACCCUGACCCAGCAACGCCGCGUGAAGGAAGAAGGGCCUUCGGGUUGGUAAACUUCUUUUACCUAGGACGAAGAACGUGACGGUACCUGGAGAAAAAGCAACGGCUAACUACGUG
rnacentral:rRNA from 1 species